rnacentral:rRNA from 1 species
AUUGAACGCUGGCGGCAUGCCUAACACAUGCAAGUCGAGCGAGCGGCGGACGGGUGAGUAAUGCCUGGGAAACUGCCCGAUGGGGGGGGAUAACCACUGGAAACCGUAGCCAAUUCCCCAUAUCACUAGAUGUUCCCAGGUGGGAUUAGCUAGUGGGUGGGGUAACGGCUCACCUAGCCGACGAUCCCUAGCUGGUCUGAGAGGAUGACCAGCCACACUGGAACUGAGACACGGUCCAGACUCCUACGGGAGGCAGCAGUGGGGAAUAUUGCACAAUGGGCGAAAGCCUGAUACAGCCAUGCCGCGUGUGUGAAGAAGGCCUUCGGGUUGUAAAGCACUUUCAGCGGGGAGGUGUUACCCAAAGAGAAAGCACCGGCUAACUACGUGCCAGCAGCCGCGGUAAUAC